UACGUAGGGAGCAAGCGUUGUCCGGAAUCAUUGGGCGUAAAGCGCGCGUAGGCGGCCUCAUAAGUCCGUUGUGAAAGUCAAAGGCUCAACCUUUGAAAGCCGAUGGAUACUGUGAGGCUAGAGUCCGGAAGAGGCGAGUGGAAUUCCUGGUGUAGCGGUGGAAUGCGCAGAUAUCAGGAGGAACACCAAUGGCGAAGGCAGCUCGCUGGGACGGUAUUGACGCUGAGACGCGAAAGCGUGGGGAGCAAACAGG
rnacentral:rRNA from 1 species